GACGAACGCUGGCGGCGUGCUUAACACAUGCAAGUCGAACGGAAAGGCCCUGCUUUUGUGGGGUGCUCGAGUGGCGAACGGGUGAGUAACACGUGAGUAACCUGCCCUUGACUUUGGGAUAACUUCAGGAAACUGGGGCUAAUACCGGAUAGGAGCUCCUUCUGCAUGGUGGGGGUUGGAAAGUUUCGGCGGUUGGGGAUGGACUCGCGGCUUAUCAGCUUGUUGGUGGGGUAGUGGCUUACCAAGGCUUUGACGGGUAGCCGGCCUGAGAGGGUGACCGGCAAAAUUGGGACUGAGAUACGGCCAAGACUCCUACGGGAGGAAGCAGUGGGGAAUAUUGCAAAAUGGGCGGAAGCCUGAUGCAGCAACGCCGCGGGCGGGAUGACGGCCUUCGGGUUGUAAACCGCUUUCGCCUGUGACGAAGCGUGAGUGACGGUAAUGGGUAAAGAAGCACCGGCUAACUACGUG
rnacentral:rRNA from 1 species